GUUACCGCUGGGAGUUAACCACAUAGAUGAGCAAGAACGGUACUCUGGACCCAACCGGCUUUUUAUUUCCACUCUUUACGGAGACUCCGGAGAUCGACGAAGUGCUACGAUUGCAAGAACGGUUGAAGAAUAAGUGCAUUUUAACCUUUUGCAACAUUCAUGACUAAAAAGUGUGCUAAAAACACUCGACCUUCCAAAAAAUGAAUCUUCAAGGCUUACGAAAAACAUUGUACAAGGGCAUUUUCCAACGCACGUCGACAUUUGUACUCGCGUGCGUUGUGUCCGCAUUUGCCUUCGAAAGAUUGGUCGAUGUUACGGGGGAUCAACUUUUUUUAUUCAUUAAUACAGGGAAAAUGUACAAGGACGUAGAGAAGAAGUAUGCAGCCUUAGCAGCAGGAUCAGAGGGGGAGGAAGAAGAAUAAAAUACUGCACACAUUUAUAGGAUCUUACAAUUGUUGAACAGACUCAAUUUGGACUAAAUGAAACUAGACUCACUUCAAAUCAAACAAAACCUGGAAGUGUCAAAUGAGGAUAAGAAUAAAUAUUGAUGUUUUCAACAUAGAACGUGUGCAUUUAAUAAAUACUAUAAUGAAUCAGUUUAACAUUCAGAAACAUUCAGAAAAUCAGAAACAUUCAAAAUAUUUACGUUAAUUGAUAGUGCCCCAGAUUUUUUUGGAACAUUAUGAUGUUAUUUAUAAUUUACAUUUUUGUUGUAUUCAAAUGAAUACAAUUAAACAUGUGUAAACACUA